UCCACAGUGCCAACAUAACAGCCUGACCACUCAUCUCCUACUUCCUCUGUGGGGUGAACUUUCCAAAGACGACCACUGUAUUAAGACUCCGUCACCUGGCAAUGGCAACGACCACCAUCAAAAGACUUCGUCUCCAGGGAAUCAAAGACUCAAUGUGCUCAUAAGGUUUUGAAACUCCUUACGUAGAAUUGUGGAAAAUCCAGACUUAACAAAUUGACCCCUCAUCUCCUACUUCCUCUGCGGGAUGAACCUUCCAAAGACCACCACCUUGUUAGGAUUCAGUCACCUGGGAAUGGCAAUGACCACCAUCAAAAGACUUCGUCACCAGGAAAUCACAGACUCAAUGUGCUCCAUCCACAGUGCCAACAUAACAGCCUGACCACUCAUCUCCUACUUCCUCUGCGGGGUGAACUUUCCAAAGACGACCACUGUAUUAAGACUCCGUCACCUGGCAAUGGCAACGACCACCAUCAAAAGACUUCGUCUCCAGGGAAUCAAAGACUCAAUGUGCUCAUAAGGUUUUGAAACUCCUUACGUAGAAUUGUGGAAAAUCCAGACUUAACAAAUUGACCCCUCAUCUCCUACUUCCUCUGCGGGAUGAACCUUCCAAAGACCACCACCUUGUUAGGAUUCAGUCACCUGGGAAUGGCAAUGACCACCAUCAAAAGACUUCGUCACCAGGGAAUCACAGACUCAAUGUGCUCCAUCCACAGUGCCAACAUAACAGCCUGACCACUCAU